CGGGGCGUAGCUCAGUUUGGCUAGAGCGCACGGUUCGGGAUCGUGAGGUCGGAGGUUCAAAUCCUCUCGCCCCGA
rnacentral:tRNA from 1 species